GCCUAGAGCGGCGGACUGGUGAGUAACGCGUGGGUGACCUGCCCUUGGGGAUGGGGAUAGCCAUUAGAAAUAGUGGGUAAUACCGAAUACGGUUGCAAGAUUGGGAUUUUGCAAAGAAAGGAGCUAAGGCUCCGCCCGGGGAUGGGCCCGCGUCCCAUUAGGUAGUUGGUAGGGUAAAGGCGUACCAAGCCAGAGAUGGGUAGCCGGCCUGAGAGGGUGAACGGCCACACUGGGACUGAGAUACGGCCCAGACUCCUACGGGAGGCAGCAGCUAAGAAUAUUCCGCAAUGGACGAAAGUCUGACGGAGCGACGCCGCGUGGAUGAGGAAGGCCGAAAGGUUGUAAAAUCCUUUUAUUGCGGAGGAAUAAGCGGGGGAGGGAAUGCCCCCGUGAUGACGUUAAGCAAUGAAUAAGCCCCGGCUAAUUACGUGCCAGCAGCCGCGGUAACACGUAAGGGGCGAGCGUUGUUCGGAAUUAUUGGGCGUAAAGGGCGCGUAGGCGGUUAUGUAAGCCUGGCGUGAAAUACUCUGGCUUAACCAGAGAACGGCGCUGGGAACUGUAUGACUAGAGUCAUGGAGGGGGAGUUGGAAUUCCAGGUGUAGGGGUGAAAUCUGUAGAUAUCUGGAAGAACACCGGUGGCGAAGGCGAACUUCUAGCCAAUGACUGACGCUGAGGCGCGAAAG
rnacentral:rRNA from 1 species